GUAGGUGGCAAGCGUUGUCCGGAAUUAUUGGGCGUAAAGCGCGCGCAGGCGGUUCUUUAAGUCUGAUGUGAAAGCCACGGCUCAACCGUGGAGGGUCAUUGGAAACUGGAGAACUUGAGUACAGAAGAGGAAAGCGGAAUUCCACGUGUAGCGGUGAAAUGCGUAGAGAUGUGGAGGAACACCAGUGGCGAAGGCGGCUUUCUGGUCUGUAACUGACGCUGAGGCGCGAAAGCGUGGGGAGCAAACAGGGAUUAGAUACCCUGGUAGUCCACGCCGUAAACGAUGAGUGCUAAGUGUUAGGGGGGUUUCCGCCCCCUUAGUGCUGCAGCUAACGCAUUAAGCACUCCGCCUGGGGAGUACGGCCGCAAGGCUG
rnacentral:rRNA from 1 species